AAUAAAAAAUUUACUUAUUUUUUUGUGUUAAGUUUAAUUUAAUAAAAAUAAUUUUAUAAUUUUGUAUUUUAAGUAAAGUUUAUUGAAAAAAUUUUUUUAGUUAUAGUUUAUUAGUAUUGUAAAAGAAUAUUGAAAUAUAUAUUUAUUAGAUUUAAGUAGAAUUAAUUUUUUGUACCUUGUGUAUCAGGGUUUAUUAAAUAAAUAUUAUAAAUAUUAAUUUUCUCGAAUUUAAGAGAGUUAAUAAAUUAUUUUUUUUAUUGUAAAAAAAAUAUUUAAAAUAAUUUAUUAGUAAUGAAAUGUUAUUCGUUCUUAAAUAUAUCUAGUUUAUUUAGAAAUGAAUUUAAUUCAGAUAUUUUAUAUUUAAUAUAUUAAUUUUUUAAUAUAUUAUAAUUUAAUACUAAUAAUUAAAGGGAUUAGCUUUUAAUUAAAAAAUUAAAAAUUUUAAAUUAAUAUAUAAAAAUGUAAGUUUAGAAAUAGCUAUCAAUAAUAAUUUGUUAUAAUUAAUUUUUAUUUUAUAUAUUAUUUUAUAUGAUUUUAAGUUUUUUAUAAAUAUUUAAUUUUUAAUAUAAUAAAUUUAGUAAUAAUGAUAGAAUUAGUAUAUAUUUGAAAUAUUUAAAUAAUUAUAUAUUAAAGAUUAUUUAAAGGAAUUCGGCAAAAAUUUUACUCGCCUGUUUAACAAAAACAUGUCCUUUAGAAUUAUAUUUAAGGUCUAACCUGCCCACUGAAAUUAUUUAAAUGGCCGCAGUAUUUUGACUGUGCAAAGGUAGCAUAAUCAUUAGUUUUUUAAUUAAAAGCUUGUAUGAAAGGUUGGACGAAGUAAAAUCUGUCUCUAUUUAAAUUAAAAUAGAAUUUAACUUUUAAGUUAAAAGGCUUAAAUUUUAUUAAAAGACGAGAAGACCCUAUAGAGCUUUAUAAUUUAUUUAAUAAUAUUAAUUUGGAAAUAUUAAUAUUUUAUUUAAUAAAAUUAUUUUAUUGGGGUAAUAUAAAGAUUAAAAUAAUUCUUUUUUUUGUUAACAUUGAUUUAUGAUUUUAAUGAUCCAAUUUUAUUGAUUAUAAGAUUAAGUUACCUUAGGGAUAACAGCGUAAUUUUUUUAGAGAGUUCAUAUCGAUAAAAAAGUUUGCGACCUCGAUGUUGGAUUAAAGAAUAUUUUAGGUGCAGAAGCUUAAAAUUUUUGGUCUGUUCGACCAUUAAAUCUUUACAUGAUCUGAGUUCAGACCGGUGUAAGCCAGGUCGGUUUCUAUCUUUAAUUUAUUAAAAUAUUUUAGUACGAAAGGACCAAAUAUUUAAUAUAAUAAUAUUUAAUUAUUUGACUAUUAGUAAAAUA
rnacentral:rRNA from 1 species